rnacentral:rRNA from 1 species
GCGCGAAAACUUUACAAUGCUGGCAACAGCGAUAAGGGAACCUCGAGUGCCAGGUUACAAAUCUGGCUGUCGAGAUGCCUAAAAAGCAUUUCAUAGCAAGGGCCGGGCAAGACCGGUGCCAGCCGCCGCGGUAACACCGGCGGCUCGAGUGGUAACCGUUAUUAUUGGGUCUAAAGGGUCCGUAGCCGGCCGGGUAAGUCUCUUGAGAAAUCUGGCAGCUUAACUGUCAGGCUUUCAGGAGAUACUGUCUGGCUCGAGGCCGGGAGAGGUGAGAGGUACUUCAGGGGUAGGGGUGAAAUCUUGUAAUCCUUGAAGGACCACCAGUGGCGAAGGCGUCUCACCAGAACGGACCUGACGGCAAGGGACGAAAGCUAGGGGCACGAACC